rnacentral:lncRNA from 1 species
UAAGUGGAACAAGAUGAUAGAAUAUAUACAAUGUAAGAUGUAGAUUGUUUAAUUUAGUGGAAUUCUUUGAUGGAAGUUGUCAUUCCAGAUAUGUUUUGUAAUAUUGAUAUAGAGGAUUUUACUAAUUUGCAUUGACUGGGAAUGGUAUAAUAAUGAAUAUAUUUUGAUAUUAGCAAGUGGAGAAAUGUUAUUACAUUUCUAUCUA